rnacentral:rRNA from 1 species
AUUGAACGCUGGCGGCAUGCCUUACACAUGCAAGUCGAACGGCAGCACGGGAGCAAUCCUGGUGGCGAGUGGCGAACGGGUGAGUAAUAUAUCGGAACGUGCCCAGUCGUGGGGGAUAGCGCAGCGAAAGCUGUGCUAAUACCGCAUACGAUCUAUGGAUGAAAGCGGGGGAUCGCAAGACCUCGCGCGAUUGGAGCGGCCGAUAUCAGAUUAGCUAGUUGGUGAGGUAAAGGCUCACCAAGGCGACGAUCUGUAGCUGGUCUGAGAGGACGACCAGCCACACUGGAACUGAGACACGGUCCAGACUCCUACGGGAGGCAGCAGUGGGGAAUUUUGGACAAUGGGCGAAAGCCUGAUCCAGCAAUGCCGCGUGCAGGAUGAAGGCCUUCGGGUUGUAAACUGCUUUUGUACGGAACGAAACGGUGAGCUCUAAUACAGUUUGCUAAUGACGGUACCGUAAGAAUAAGCACCGGCUAACUACGUGCCAACAGCCGCCGCGGUAA